UUUUCGAGGUAGGAGUCGACUCCUGUGAGGUAUGGUGCUGGGUGCAGAUGCAGUGUGGCUCUGGAUAGCACCUUAUGGACAGUUCUGUCCCAAAGGAGGGAUGAGAAUAGCUACUGAAUUGUUUCUUCCCAGGUCCUAAAGAGCAAGCCUAACUCAAGCCAUUGGCACACAGGCAUUAGACAGAAAGCUGAAGUUGAAAUGGUGGAGUCCAACUUGUCUGGACCAGCUUAACGGUUCUGCUCCUGGUAACGUUUUUAUCCGUGGAUGGCUUGCUUGGGUAAGGACAUGAAGACAGUUCCUGUCAUACCUUUUAAAGGGUUUUUAAUGACCACAACAAGCAAGCAUGCAGCUUACUGCUUGAAAGGGUCUUGCCUCACCCAAGCUGGAGUGCAGCGGCCUUUGAAGCUUACUACAGCCUCAAACUUCUGGGCUCAAGUGAUCCUCAGCCUCCCAAUGGUCUUUGUAGACCGCCUGAUGGAGUCUCAUGGCACAAGAAGAUUAAAACAAUGUCUCCAAUUUUAAUAAAUUUUUGCAAUCCAAAAAAAGAAAAAA
rnacentral:lncRNA from 1 species